AUUGAUGUUGUUUACUUACAUUUAGGAAUAGGAAUUAAACUACUUUGAUUACUAAAAUACCCCUAGAAAAAGAAAAGAGAAAAAGACAGCUAUAUGAUUUCAAACACACACACCCCAUAAAUUGACAAACUGGAAGUCCGAUAUAGUGAGACGGUGGACAACUCGUCGGCGCCGCCGCAAUGUAUCCAGCGCAUCCUCUCAGAAAAAGCCACCGGCUUCUCCUAUCCUCGUCGGCUAGGUUGGUUCUUUUUGUUUGGGUCCCCAAAAAAUUCAAGACUUUUAUGUUGAUGGGAUUCUGUUUGCUUUGUUUAGGCUUCAGAAGGAGUUGAUUUGAUUCUCUCAUGGUAUGUUAAGCUUUCUCUCAAUCUAUUGUUCUUUCAUUUUGAUAUUUUCAUGGUGAUUUUGAUGCUAGAAUCUUUACUUGACGUAUUGUUGAUGUGAUUCUCAUUCCUUUGAGGUGUUGUUCCUCUUCAGCUAUCUCAAUUGUUGCUACUCUUCUUCAUUAUGUGGUAUUAUUUAUGUGUGUUGCUGCUGUUGGUGUGGUAAAGACUAGAAAAAGUACAGAAUGAUGAAUUUGUUGAGAAAGCCAAGAAGAAGCAACUUGAUAUUGUUUUAGGAUUAGAUGAGAAGAAGCUAUUUUUAAAAAUAGUUCUGCAAUGUUUCUAAGGUGGAAUUUCUACAUGGUGAUAAUUAGAGAGGAAGAUGUUCUGGAAUUUUCAAGCAGGAACACAAAAUUGGUCAAGGUAACUUAAUGAGUGUUUGACUCCAGCUAAGGUUCAUUUUGAUCCAUAUGUUUAUGGUUAUUCAUUUAUCACUUGUUCAGAGCUUAUUCUUCAUAUCCAAAUAUAUUCAAAACUACUGUGUUUGAGGUGUCUUCCAGCUGAGUUUCGAGAGACAAGGGGUUUUCCAAAGGAGACAAUGCAGGAUGGUUAUCAAAAUCAAAAAUUCUGGUUUGCAAACUUAGAUGUCUGCUGUAGCAGCAAAAUGAUUAACGAGAACAAGCUCUUUUCCAAGAAGAAUAGGUACCGCUUUUUAAUUUUAUUUGAUUUGUUUUAUUUGACCAAAUGCUAAACUUACUGGAUAUAUAUAUAUAUAUAUAUGCAUAUAUGUGUAUUUUACUUGUAAUUGUAAUCAAUGACAGAUAACGUUUGUAUUUGCAACUUUAAUGCUUUAAGAUAGAAUGUUGUGUGAUUUUACUUAUAUGGAAACAUUGGUGUGAUUGCAUUUUCAAUUACAAGGUUCCUAAUCCGACUUUGGUGGCUACAAGGGCUUUUGUGGCUUCUUCAGAGUUUUUAACAUCUCAUGCUCUGUCUCUUACUUGCAAUAGGCCUCCCCCUCCGCCCCCUCCUCCUCCUCCACCUUGGACUCCUCCUUGUUUGGAUUUUGUUAAGAUAAAUACAUAUGCUUCUUGGGAUAAACAAUCUCUGCAGGUUGGUUUGGCAGUGAUAGUUCGAAAUAGUUCUGGUGAGCUUCUUUAUGGCAAGAUGAGGAUUGUUAGGGCCUCUUUGAUCCUUCUUGCUGAAACUUUGGCCCUUUAUCAAGCUGUGUUACUGGCCUUGUGUUUAAAUUUUUGAAAAAUUUAUGAUUCUAGACAUGCUCCUACUUAAUAGUCUUUUGUUUUCUGGCUCCUCAGCUUUGUUGUUUUUGCUGGGGAGUUUCUUUUUCUGGUUUGCUUCUUUUUUCCUCUGUUUCUUUGUCGUUGUUUGGUCUCUUUGUGUUUAAUAAAUGGUUACUUGACAGAAAAAAAGGAAAAAAAAAAAGGGAAUGUUGUGUUAUUCGAUUGAACCUUUUUUUUUUAUCAAGUUUCUAUCUGGGAUUUUAUUUAUACCCUUUUUUGGUCUAUGGCCUAGAUUGUAGAGCAGUAAUGUUGCUUCUAAAUUGGAGUCAGUCUUUGGGUCUCCUUUUUUGGGAGAGACACACAUUGUUUUGUUGAUGGUAGAACAAAACUCUUGUACUUGCUGCUUCAUUUGCUAUUAUUGUCUACUCUAUGCAAGCUGUUAAGCUACAUGCUUCUAUCUUCAAUAGCUUGAUUGGCUUAACGGAUCAAAAUGGAUUUGUACCUAACUCUGAUAUUUUAUUCACUUAAAGGAUCAAAAUUGAUUUGUUUGUGGGUGAUAAAGGACGCUAUACUUCAGUUGCUAUAUUUCAGUUGCUCAAAUGGGGCACUUCUCAGCCCCAACUAAACUUGUCGGAAUUUUGUGAAGCUUUCAUUUCACCUGCAAGACAGUUAUUAUUAUUGCUCUUGUAUCAGUAUGAGACUUUAUUGUUUCCUCUAAUUACAGGUUAGUUUUUCAAACCCAGAAAGAAAUUAUUAUCACAAAUUUGCUUAGUCCAAAGGAGUCUGUGGGAUGUGCGGCAAACAAGUACUCGACACCAAGAGUUACAAACAAAGCAAUGUAUAAUACAAAUGAAUUGUCUAUUCGAUAGAUGAUACUGGCAUAUUUGUCAUCAAAAUUGCAAUGUAACUUUUAGUUAUGACUGAUGUUUAUAGUACUUCAGAUUCACAGUACUGAUAUUUGUUAUUCAGAUUGCAAUGUAACCAUUAAUUACUAUA